rnacentral:rRNA from 1 species
UACAGAGACUGCAAGCGUUAUUCGGAUUCACUGGGCGUAAAGGGUGCGCAGGCGGCCGUGUGUGUGAGGCGUGAAAGCCCGGAGCUCAACUCCGGAAUUGCACCUCAAACUACAUGGCUAGAGCAUUGGAGAGGGAAGCGGAAUUCACGGUGUAGCAGUGAAAUGCGUAGAUAUCGUGAGGAACACCAGAGGCGAAGGCGGUUGCCUGGAGCUUUGCUGACGCUGAGGCGCGAAAGCGUGGGGAGCGAUCCGG